GACGAACGCUGGCGGCGUGCUUAACACAUGCAAGUCGAACGGUAAGGCCCUUCGGGGUACACGAGUGGCGAACGGGUGAGUAACACGUGGGUGAUCUGCCCUGCACUUCGGGAUAAGCCUGGGACACUGGGUCUAAUACCGGAUAGGACCACUGCCUGCAUGGGUGGUUGGUGGAAAGCUUUUGCGGUGUGGGAUGGGCCCGCGGCCUAUCAGCUUGUUGGUGGGGUGAUGGCCUAGCAAGGCGACGACGGGUAGCCGGCCUGAGAGGGUGACCGGCCACACUGGGACUGAGAUACGGCCCAGACUCCUACGGGAGGCAGCAGUGGGGAAUAUUGCACAAUGGGCGCAAGCCUGAUGCAGCGACGCCGCGUGAGGGAUGACGGCCUUCGGGUUGUAAACCUCUUUCAGCACCGACGAAGCGCAAGUGACGGUAGGUGCAGAAGAAGGACCGGCCAACUACGUGCCAGCAGCCGCGGUAA
rnacentral:rRNA from 1 species